UUCAAAGCUAUUAGCUGCUACACUUACACGUGGAAAACUUGCACUUGGCAUUCUAAAAUUAGACAGCAAACUUUAUUGCCGGUCAUUUAAAAGUUCAGUGACAAGACAACUGCUGACACAGACUUCUACCUCUCUGACUGAAACAGGAACUUUCGCGCAAAGAAAACACACACAGGGCAGGAACAUGACUACACUCGCCCUUCCAAGUUUCUGAUCGAUCGAACUCUUCGGUGACCAGAAAAUGAGAAAAGGGCAGGCCGUCGUUGUACAGACCACAGGUGCUCGGACGCACGGCCGGCAUCAUGGUCGUCAUAACUCAUAACCCGUGAGGGGGUGACGAAGCAAGAAAGGAAGGUUAGUUGACGCUCGCUGAGAAUGGUGCUAAUAUCUCCGUUUUGGUGAUAUAAGGGAUUUACAGCAUCCACAUGACCAUGGUCGACAACGGCCUGAAGCCAAAUUUUGUUUUUGUUCAGACAAAUGGCCGUGCGCUGAACUGACCAGCAGACCUUUCCGUCCUCAUAUUCCCCGGAUUCGUUUUCUGCGAUCGAGCACCCGAGCGGUUGCAUCUCGACGGCAGUUCCCUUUACAACCGAGUUAGCUUUAUACUAUGAGCAGUGAGCAAGUCAUGUAUAAAGCAAAAACAAAAUAUUGGUCUGCUAUCAAAUGGUACAUUUAUUUGAACUCUAAGGGGAGGUUCAGGGUCUCAUGAAGAGGGCAUGUGUUUGUAUUAGAUCAGAAGGUUUUACAGUUGACAAGCUUACAGGUUUGAGCACCCUGAACAACGGGGUGGGCCCUUUGACCUGUGGGUUCUGCUGGUACCAAGAGAAGGAGGUUCCUUUUAACCUGCAGGAGCUCUGCCAAUGGCAGCGUGCUUUCCUUGACAAUGACGUGGUACUGCACGUACGCAAGAUGCAGCGAGUGAAAUCGGCGCAAGAGGGCAUCUUGCAAGCAGCACCAAAUCCUAUAUUAUGGGACCGAGUCAAAUGUGGCUCGGUGAUAGAAUUAAGCAUGAAGGAGGAAGAUACCAGCACCAGCCCCUGCAAUAAAGACUGCGGCAACGGCGACGGCAGUGUGUCCCGGCGAGCGUGAGCAAUGGCAGCAUCAUCUCUGACUCCGUGUACCUGACCAAGAUGCUGCCCAGGUCACAUGUCAAGGACUUCCUCUUGGACAAUGCCGCCUCCUUGGCUGUUGUUGUCAUCUCCUCAAAUAAGUCGUAUCAGGUAGAGCUGAGGAUUAAGGAUUAAGUAUAAACGCAAUGGAGCCCGUUGUAUAACAACGCAGAGCCGAAGGAGAUGCUACUUUAUUGUUGCCUUAUCUUUGUCGAUGCAGUCGAAUAUGGGUCUAUUCUGGUGCCCUGUCUUCAUCGUAGCGUGUGUAUGUAACAUGGGGGCGGCCGUGAGAAUAGAUCGUCUAGACUACUUUUUCUGGGCUACUAAAAUAUACGAAGGGACAUCAAGGUCAGAAAUCAAUUAGGGAGGCACUAACAUUAUGCCUUGAUUCAGAUGUCAAAAAAAUGCCUUGAUUCAGAUGGUUCCGUCGAUUUUUUGCAUUUAUUAUGGAUAAUUUGUAUUAGUUUCUUUUUGGAGUAAAAAAUGGGUUGAAAUUGAUAUAAUACAAUUGGUUAAACUUCAUUGUAGUUUUAUCAACAGUUAUGAGAGUUUGCUACCUCAUGUUUUUUUAUUUAAAAUGAAGAU